rnacentral:rRNA from 1 species
UACGUAGGGGGCGAGCGUUGUCCGGAAUCAUUGGGCGUAAAGAGCGUGUAGGCGGCCAGGUAGGUCGGUUGUGAAAAACUGGAGGCGCAACCUUCAGAGGUCGACCGAAACCAUCUGGCUAGAGUCCGGGAGAGGAGAGUGGAAUUCCUGGUGUAGCGGUGAAAUGCGCAGAUAUCAGGAAGAACACCCGUGGCGAAAGCGGCUCUCUGGAACGGUACUGACGCUGAGACGCGAAAGCGUGGGGAGCGAACAGG